rnacentral:lncRNA from 1 species
CCUGCGUUAUUCAGUGAAGCAGACAUUGCCUAUUCCCUACAUUUCCCCCUUCAAAAUGUUUAAUUUUAAUUUAAAAGAUUAAUACAGCCAGGAUAUUCUUUCAACAGGCAAAUAAAAACCGCAGUUUAAACUCUGAGUUUCAAUCAGAAACUAACAGCUCUUGGAUUUCCCGGGGCUCACACUCCUCUGAAACAACUCACGAAGAGCCUGAGGAAGCAGUUCUCACUGGAAAAUGCAAGAAAGUAUGUUCUGAUGAAGACCCUUAGCUCUGUUCAUUUUCAUGAUGCAAAUGCCCACAAAGGUGGUUUUGACCUGACUGACCCUGUGCGAGGAGGCACAGUCUCCUCACCAGCAUAAGCACGUGGCAUCAGAUGCGGAGACAGUUUUGGACGUGGAUGGAUGUUUACACACUGAGACUCCUUCAGUGUCCCUUCAAGAAAAUGUGGACACAGUGUCUCUGAAGCCUGUUAGUGACCAUAGAAUUAAUUUCACUAAUACCUUUCGGUCACCGACUCCUGAAAAGAGAACAUGUGAAUAUCAUGAGUCCGUUGAAAAAAGACAAAAUGAAUCUCACACAGAAUGUGGUCUAUGAAAAUUAAGAGGGCAGAGGGGUCAUGGACCUUGCCUGUCACACAUCUUUUACGAGCAAACAAAAUGUGAUGAGAUGACUGAAGACUUGAGAUCUGGUUAGUGAUACCACCGAUGAGAUGAGCACCACAGGUAUUCAAGCCAGCCCAGCCCCGUCCGAGGAAUAGGCUGUGGAAAAAUUGAGAGAAUUUCCAUUUCAGAAUAUAGGAAAAGGAACAUAAAGGAACAUUACCAUCUAUGAUCCCAAACGACUGAUAUGAAAAAAUGACUGCAACUACUUCUCUGAGUAGCAAGCCUAAAGAUGUAAAACCUAACCUUAGAUCAAGUGAAGAUCCUUCCUCCAAAAGUGGAGAUCUGUUGGAACCCAGUGAGGUGGAUUGGAUGUCAGACCUCAAGAAAGUGGACCAGAUCGGGCUGGCUCUCCUGAGCAAGUCAGGUCUGAGUCGUCAGACGGGGCCAGCUGCUCACACCUCCCUGUGUCCUGCCAGGAGACUGUAGAUGAUGAUCAAAAAUCAUCACUAAAGCUACGUCAACUGCAAGUUGUGAGCUCAGAGGCCGGGACCUGUUCCCAGCGGAACCAUUCAUGGCUCUGCAGCUGAGACGCAGAACAUGGGGCUGCGGUGCCUGCACUCUUGAUGUCACCCCUCCCAGCACAGCUUCCUUCAGCCAGAGGUAUUGAAGAACACUCCCUUCAGCUGGAAGUGUCGCCCUGCCUCAGUGCCAGGCUGGCAGGGCCAUAGCCUGUGGCUUCUCAGGAGGCCAUCCCUAUCCAGCUGUCACGGGAGAGCAUGUGCAGAACUCUGUGGCUGUGGAAUUUGGGACCAAAUACCGGCUCUGGAUGGAUGGGCACCUCUUCCAUCUGCGACCCAUAUUCUGAUGCCUCACAUCGGAACCUGCUAAGCACAGCGAAGCCUUUUCCUGUGCAUUCUAUUGGUAGAAACUGGAAAGAAACCACGAGAUUCAGGAAUGACAUCAGUACUGGGUAGAGACAGAACAGAAAGCCAUUCUUGAUUUUGGUGACUGGAGUUGUGGAGGCUGGAAGUCUCUGCCAAUAAAAGCACUGAACCGGACACACACCACUUACCAAUCAAGUUGAUUCUCAAUGUUAGCACCGUGGCCUGGCAAGAUCGGACGUUUUCCGAGGAACCCGGCUGAGCUCCUGUGAGAGCUGCUCCCUGCACUGAUGUGGUCCCUUGGCUGGCAGGCUGCUCUGUGAUCAACCAGGUGACACCUGCCUGUUAUGAGGGACAGGUAGGAGAGGAUGGGCUUUCC